CCGCCCGGCGCCCUGCGUCCCCAUCGCCGCCGCUCGCGGGCUCCGGCGUGAGCAGCCGCCACCCCUCCUGCCGCCGCGCAUGCGCCCACGGACUGGGGCGGGGCCUCCGGCCCCGAGAAUGGGACCAGCACCGCCCCCCCCUCUCGCCCCCGGGCAAAGACAAAAGCGACAGCUCAAGACCCGGCGCUUUGCAACGGGCCUCCAGUCUACAAGGGUUGAGACCCGCUGGACUAGCCCGGUCAGCGUCGUCCUGUGCGCCCACCCCGCCCGAGACAGCCCGGAUGGUUGUAGGCCCCAGGGCAGGGGCGACACAGGCUCCAGGCUUGAAGGUAUGUAGAAUUGCUCAUGCUGAAAAAUCCUUGCUGCUUGUCACUGUGUUAAUGUUGCUGAGACCUGCCAGCUUUCAAGUGUGCUCUAAUCCUAAAUUUUCAGUAAUCUUGGGGACCCUAUUGGUGACAUUUCUAUUCCAAUCCCAGGGUCUAAAGAAAGACCCUUUUCAAUGUUCCUAUUUCAUCCAGAUACACUUCUCUAAAGAUCCAAGGGAAUUUGUAGGGAGGCAUUUCUUCAGCAAAACCAUGGGACUUCUGGAACUCACUCCAUCUCCAUUCGCUCCAACAGGCUUUUGGGGUGCUUGCGCACCUGACUGUCAUCACGAUGUACACAUGACAAAGAUGUUAUUUGUAUGGCUUAAUGACAUCACACAUUACACAUGUGCCAGUUUUGGGGGUUUGAGCCUGUCACAACCCAAGGGUGUGAUUUUGUGUGCGCGCGCUUCGGCACUGCUAAAUUAUUUCCCGCCACCAGGAGCUUUC